ACAACAAACAGGCCGGGAGGAGGGACGGGAGGCCAGGAGAGCUCCACGUUCCGUGAAACCUUUGCAGGGCACCAGCUGAGAGACAGAAUUUUUGGAAGAACUUAGGAAAGAAACUAAGAAAAGACAACAGCACACAGCAACAAGCAGUCAUCCGGGCCUCUCAUGUCACCGAGAACAUUAUGGUGGGCGCCUGUGAGCUCUUCCUGACCACCCAAGACUUCUAGGAUGCUUU
rnacentral:lncRNA from 1 species